GAUAAAUUACCAUUUAUAAAUUACAAUAUCGGAAUGAAUUUUGGUAAACCCAAGGAAGAAAACAAAUUUGCACCAUAUUUAAGUAAUAAAAUAUUCAGUGACGAUGACUUUUUAUUUGAUCUAGCAAGAAAGUAUGGAGAAUCAAAACUAU